rnacentral:rRNA from 1 species
UCCUUUGUUGCCAGCGGUCCGGCCGGGAACUCAAAGGAGACUGCCAGUGAUAAACUGGAGGAAGGUGGGGAUGACGUCAAGUCAUCAUGGCCCUUACGACCAGGGCUACACACGUGCUACAAUGGCGCAUACAAAGAGAAGCGACCUCGCGAGAGCAAGCGGACCUCAUAAAGUGCGUCGUAGUCCGGAUUGGAGUCUGCAACUCGACUCCAUGAAGUCGGAAUCGCUAGUAAUCGUGGAUCAGAAUGCCACGGUGAAUACGUUCCCGGGCCUUGUACACACCGCCCGUCACACCAUGGGAGUGGGUUGCAAAAGAAGUAGGUAGCUUAACCUUCGGGAGGGCGCUUACCACUUUGUGAUUCAUGACUGGGGUGAAGUCGUAACAAGGUAACCGUAGGGGAACCUGCGGUUGGAUCACCUCCUUACCUUAAAGAA